UAUAUGUUGUUGAAAACUGGAAAUAUCACAGACUAGUUACUACAUUGCACUAUCUUACACCUGCCAAGGGUCACGUUGAUAACGAUCAUAGGACACAAUCUGGGACGAGUAUCUGUGAAGAAUAGAAGCAAGGUGCAUUACGUUUAUUUAUAGUGUAUGUUUAUAUCUUACCUGCCAGGGGUCACAUUGAUAGUGAGCAUAGGACAAAAUCUGGGACGAGUUUCUGUGCAGAUAAUAGAAGCAAGGUGCAUUACGUUUAUCUAUAUUGUAUGUGUAUAUCUCACCUCCAGGGGUCACACUGAUGACGUGCAUAGGACAAAAUCUGGGACGAGCAUCUGUGAAGCUAAUAGAAGCAAGGUGCAUUACGUUUAUCUAUAUUGUAUGUUUAUAUCUCAUGGACAAAUCACGCGCGUGCCACAUAUACGUUCGUGGCAUACUCUCAACUGGCCAUCGAUACUUCGGUCAAAGUAAAUGACAUAAUCUCAAGGUCACAAUAUGAAGGUUAUUGUAAGUUUUGUCAGUAAAUGGAAUAGGUAUAUAAUACGGACGACAGUCACAAAUCAUUCGGUGGUUGUCUGGUAACUUCAUUCAUGUUUGUAAUUUUACUAUCUUCUACUUUGAUAAAUCUUUACCAUUUGUUUCUGUGUUAACUUUAAUCUAUUGUACAUAUCUUUAGACCCUUGGCACUACCUUCACGUGUAUGUGGAACGUGGCAUCCUUUCACAUAUUUCUGUUUAGGAUUAUUUAUUUAAUACUGAAUAACACUUCGCGGUUUUGUGACUUAUAGAUUGUAUAGAGUGUGUCGGGUACCCUAACUACUAGUAUUACAUUACGUUGUGGGCACUCUGCUGUUUUGUGACUGUAUGGAUACCCACUGUAUUGAACUAUUGUAUUACGUUGUGAUAAAUGCGUAACGAAUCUACAUGUGAUGUUUAUGUACUUUGAAAGCUGAUUGCGUUGUGAACAUGUUUUAAGAAUUAAUUAUUGACUGAUUAUGUAAUAUAAGAUCCUGUGACUGCUGAGUAAUAAACUCCCCGUUUAUUUA